AUGCCUCCGCCUCGCCGCGCGCUCAUCUCCUCCCUCCUCCGCCUCCGCGCCUGCUCCUCCCUUGCCCACCACUCACCGCGGCCGCCGCCGCCCUCCUCGCGCCGCCACCAGUUCGUCGCCGACCCCAACGCCGCCGCCGGCACGGGACGAAGCAGCGUCGGCGGCAACCCCUUGGACCCCACGCAGCUCCUCCGCGACGACCCGGUGUCCAUCACCGCGUCGCUGUGGGUCUCCUCCUUCCGCGCCGCCGCGCCUGGCGACGCCGCUCCACCACCGCCGCCGGCGCUGGCCCCCUUCCUCACUCGCCUCGAGCUCUGGGUGCUCGCCUACCAGAAGGCGUACGCGGACGAGACCGGCUCCUACCUACCCCGCUCCUCCAUCCCCGCCUCCACGCUCACCUCCAUCCUCACCCUCCGCAACGCCGUCAUCGACGCCCGCUUCCGCUUCGGCAACCGCCUCACGCCCUACCUCCACUCCCCGCGCGCCGCGGCGGCCCCGGACCCCGCCACCCUCUCCAAGCGCAAGCUCCGCGCCCUCCUCACCACCCCGGGCCCGGCCCCCUUCCAGGACCGCGUCGUGCAGGAGCUGCUCCUGCUGCUGCUCGAACCAGUGUAUGAGGCGCGGUUCUCGCCCAAGUCCUUCGCCUUCCGCCCUGGGCGAUCCCCGCAUGCCGCACUCCGUAGCAUCCGCCGGAGCUGGGCGCCCUACCUCUGGUACAUCAAGGGAGACCUCUCCCCGCUGCUUGAUUCCCCUGACCCUGCGCUCGUGGUCGGCGCGCUCAUCCGUGAUGUGCGUGACAAGAAAGUGGUCGAUCUAGUCCGCUCGGCACUGCUUACUCCAGUGGUGACCGCCAGGCCUGGUGAUGAUGAUGCAUCAAAGAAGAAGAAGAAGAGGAAGUACCAGAAAAAGAAGGUGCUGCCUGAAGGGGAGCCGAAGCCUGACCCCUACUGGUUGCAGACAUUCUUUGGGUUUGCACCAGAGGAGGCUCUGACUCAGCCUGAUUGGGGGCAUUGUGGGGUGCUGAGCCCAUUGCUCGCCAAUGUCUGUCUUGAUGAGUUCGAUAAAUGGAUGGACGAGAAGAUUAAGGAGUUCUACAAGCCGUCCAAGUCGGAUGUUGUGGGAGGGGAGGAUGGCAUUGAGCAGGGGAAUACAUCAUGGCCGGAGUUUGUACCCACGAGCGGGCCUGACAAAACAAGGAAGGUGGACUAUAUUCGGUUUGGCGGGCAUUUCUUGAUUGGAGUAAGGGGCCCUAGGGCCGACGCUGCAGUGAUUCGAAAGCAGCUCAUUGAAUUUUGUGAUCAGCGGUUCAGGAUCAAGCUUGACAAUGAGAGCCUCCCAAUUGAACACAUCACUAAAGGGAUCAUGUUUCUUGAUCAUGUGUUGUGCCGUCGUGUCGUGUACCCAACCCUCCGUUACACAGCCACUGGAGGCAAGAUCAUUAGCGAGAAGGGGGUUGGUACUCUGCUCUCAGUUACAGCCAGUUUGAAGCAGUGCAUCAGGCAGUUCCGGAAGCUAGAGUUUUUAAAGGGAGACCGUGAGCCAGACCCACAGCCAUGUUUCCGGAUGUUCCAUGCCACGCAAGCUCACACUAACUUGCAGAUGAAUAAGCUUUUAACGACGAUGGCAGAAUGGUAUCGCUAUGCUGAUAACCGCAAAAAGGUUGUCAACUUUUGCUCGUACAUUAUAAGGGGGUCCUUGGCAAAGUUAUAUGCCGCCAAGUAUAAGCUGCGGUCAAGGGCAAAGGUUUAUAAGAUUGCAUCAAGGAAUCUUAGUCGACCAUUGAAGGAUAAGAAAGGGCAGUCACCAGAGUACACCAAUUUGCUGAGAAUGGGUCUUGUAGACUCAGUUGAUGGACUUCAGUAUACAAGGAUGUCAAUGGUUCCUGAUCCUGACUAUACACCAUUACCAAGCGGGUGGCGCCCGGACCACGAGAAGUUUUUGCUAGAAUAUAUAAAGCUCACAGAUCAACAAACACUGGAAGAGCAGCGGAGUUGCAUUAGAGAGGAGGGGCUUAUAACACCACAGGACCACAUUUCAAUGCUUGUAUGGAGCUACAAGAAAAAUGCAGUUUUACUACCUUCUUCAAAAGAGAGUGAUGUCCAAGAAUCCAUAGAAGACCUUGGUUCAGAUACAGAUGAAUUGAAUAACAAGGAGCUAGGGCAUGGAGGCCAUCAGGGUUUUCCAUAGCAUACUGAAAUGUCUUGAGUGUCAAUAAUUUCUGUGAAAUCACCAAGGAUUAAUUACGAUAACAGUUGGUUGCUGCCGCUGAAUUUACAAGAGACCAACUCACCGAUGGACCACAAAGACUAUGUAAAUGUGUACUACUGCCAAGCAGAUUCUAGCAUUUUGCUGGCUGGUUCAUAACUGCCUAGCUAGAUGGUUACUUCCUGCUCAAGGUCAUGACAUAUCAUGUGGCUCUAUCCUUCAAGACCAUUUUCAAAUGCUCAGGGCAUGGUGCAAGAACAUGAACUUCCAGGAUCAUUUUGCUUCCAAACAGUGCAUCUGCAUCAAGGCCAGCAGCUGCUCAUACAUCAUUCAUGUCUUUUAAGGGAGUAUGUGCUAAUCAUGCAAACUACUCUGCUUAUCAUGCAUGAUGGAUGACUCGUCACUAUUAUGUGUCAACGUAAGGCACUGUUUCUGCUAGGAUGUAGCUGGGGAUACUGUUUGUAGUCUUAGCAUUGGAAACAACUGCAGGCAACUAAGUCUCAUCACUAUUUGGAGUACUCUGUUGAUCUGUUCUUGUAUGUUAACGUUCCAACUCGUUUACUUUCCCAUCCUUGCCCUGAAUUUUGAUUGCAAAUGUCUUUUUAGUGUUCUUGUAUCUUUUGCUGUCAGAAGUAGACUGGCCCUUUCUUCAUGCUUCGACUAUGCCCAAUAAUAGUAAUUGGAAGAGAGCAAGAGAGAAGAGAAGUGGAAGUCGAAGCACAAGAUCUUGUACAACUAAUGUUAAAUAUUCUUUUCUAAGAUCUGAAUGGAAAUAUGCAUCUCGACGCUAAGUAUGGGCCCCGCGGAGCACAUUGAGGUAUGCCAAUCAUUUAGCACCACUAACCUUCUGUUAUGCCAAUGGAUAUGGUAGGCAUGAUUUUGUUCCCCACUAAAGGCCGACGAGAAGCACUCGCGGAGUCCUGACACAUAGGCCCAAG